UCGAGCGGGGGAGGUAGCUUGCUACCGGACCUAGCGGCGGACGGGUGAGUAAUGCUUAGGAAUCUGCCUAUUAGUGGGGGACAACAUCUCGAAAGGGAUGCUAAUACCGCAUACGUCCUACGGGAGAAAGCAGGGGAUCUUCGGACCUUGCGCUAAUAGAUGAGCCUAAGUCGGAUUAGCUAGUUGGUGGGGUAAAGGCCUACCAAGGCGACGAUCUGUAGCGGGUCUGAGAGGAUGAUCCGCCACACUGGGACUGAGACACGGCCCAGACUCCUACGGGAGGCAGCAGUGGGGAAUAUUGGACAAUGGGGGGAACCCUGAUCCAGCCAUGCCGCGUGUGUGAAGAAGGCCUUAUGGUUGUAAAGCACUUUAAGCGAGGAGGAGGCUACUUUAGUUAAUACCUAGAGAUAGUGGACGUUACUCGCAGAAUAAGCACCGGCUAACUCUGUGCCAGCAGCCGCGGUAAUACAGAGGGUGCGAGCGUUAAUCGGAAUUACUGGGCGUAAAGCGUGCGCAGGCGGUUAUGUAAGACAGAUGUGAAAUGCCCGGGCUUAACCUGGGAACUGCAUUUGUGACUGCAUGGCUAGAGUGUGUCAGAGGGGGGUAGAAUUCCACGUGUAGCAGUGAAAUGCGUAGAUAUGUGGAGGAAUACCGAUGGCGAAGGCAGCCCCCUGGGAUAACACUGACGCUCAUGCACGAA
rnacentral:rRNA from 1 species